AUUAUGCCGCCUAUGGGGAAUAAAUAAGAGUAUGUCUUGCAGUCUUCAUCAGUACUUGAAGAGAGUAUUUGAUAUUGCGUAUUCAUCCACCGUCUCAAGUUCCAAUUUUCAAGCUAAGUGAGAUAAUUAUGUACACCAAAGUUGCCUGCCUGUUGUUCAUCAUUUUGGGGGCCCUUACCGUACAGGGUGCAGUCUCCGGAAACAAGAGGAUGAACCCCUUACACGCCAGGCAGUUGGCUGGGUUUUGCAUGCCCGAUUGGCCAGUACUUUGCCUCCCGGAGAACGAGGAAUGCCCAACUCUAUAUGAACCAUGCCGCGACAUGGCAUGCUUCCACAACCGUCGUUGCUGCUGCAGGCCUAGGAUUCCGUGAAUUGCAACAGUGACGUCUCGACAAUGGAAUGACGGUUUUAACUUAGUAUUAAAAUGAUAAUUGGGAAAAUAAAAGUCGAGGAAUUAAGUUAGUAAAUGCGGAAUGCGGGGUUGGGAUUCUGGUAAAUAUGGGUAAUCUGAGAACUUCAAAAAUGUAAUACGGAGGAUAAAUAAAGGCUGAAUCAUUCAAUAACGUU